GAUCAUGGCUCAGGAUAAACGCUGGCGGCGCACAUAAGACAUGCAAGUCGAACGGAAGCCGUUAUAAAAAGGAUUGAAGAUUUAUCUGAUUGAGAUUUUAUAACAAUGGCUUUAGUGGCGGACUGGUGAGUAACGCGUGAGCAACCUGCCUACUAGAGGGGAAUAACAGUGAGAAAUCAUUGCUAAUACCGCAUAUGCCAUGAACAUCACAUGAUGAAAAUAGGG
rnacentral:rRNA from 1 species